ACACCUCCGCCCUUAAUUGGCAUCAGCUGGGCCUAAUUUCCAGUUGUCGGAGCCUAAUUGCGCAGUGGUGGCACCUGCGUUAUUUGGUCUUCCCCUCACGGGCGCGCUCACUUCUACCUGGCGUUUACCUGGCGAGGGCUGUGUGUGGCGUGCUCCGGUUGGCGUGCUUUGUGUGUGUCGUGCUCCGGUUUCUGUACCCAAACUUGGGACUCAUAAGCGGCGUUGGCCGUUCCUGUUGUGUGCAGCUUCGGAGGGGACUUUGAAAAGCGUGGUGUCUGCUCUUCCUCACUGCGAGACGGUGACUGGGUUUGAGCUGUGCGCUAUGCGUUAAGCUCCCUUCGCUCCGUUUUCCUCUAGGUGACCCAGACAGACUGGACCAGUGGACACUCAACACAAGGAGACUGCAUCUGUGCAGUGAACACUUUGCGAGUCGUCACUUCAGCACUGACUCCAGGAUAAAGACACCUUUUUUCAUACAGUACCUCACAAAGAGUCAAGAAACUUAUUAGUUUAAAAUGAUGAAUUAUUGUCCAUAAUACAUUUAAAUGCAUUUACUAAUUUUCAUACAUUACUAAGUACUCAAUUAGGGCACAGCUUGCUCUGUACUAUUACUGAUAAGGUGAAAUUACUGACACACCAGUGCAGUUUAGUGUUCCCCUGAUGCAAAAGGCCAAAUGAAGAUUUUAUCAAUCAAGGAACAUGACAUGUAUUUACCAACUUUAACAUUUUAGUGCCUUUUAUGCAAAGACCCUUUAUCAAAGUGAGAAUUACUACCUUUUUCCCCACACACAGUCUGUGAAGAACCAAUGGAAAAAAUAUUCUCAUAAUGAGACAGCCGAACAUAGCAUGAUUCCACAGUGGCAGUGAGCUUUGAGAACAGUUCAGUUUCCUUUUGAUAGCAACAAUUAUUUUAAUGUGGAUGAAUUGCAUAUUGUACAUUCAUACUCCAGUUGUUUUGAGAGUACAGUUAAAUUUAAAAUCACAUUCACAUAUAAAGUCGAAUAUCUACAGAACUUAAACACAAAACUAUUUUAUGAAUGACAGCCACUUACUCAGCAAUAAGAUCAUUUUGGUGGUGAGUGGGCUUUUAACCAAGACAGGCUGUAGUCAAUGUUUUCUACCUGUGUUUUUAACCUGUCAUCUUUCUCUCAUGUAGGACACUUGAGGAAAGUUACAACGCCUCGGCCAAUGUGAUAUUUACUCCACAAUAAAGAGGUUGUUUCACAAGAAAUUAAGAUUUUGCAA